rnacentral:ribozyme from 12 species
AAGUGAACAGUGAAAAGCAUUCCCGUAGCUAUCCAUAUUCAUAUAUUCAUAGUUUUUUUUUUUUUUUUUUUUCCCCCCCCCCUUUCCCGAACCCUACAAAGGAAGAGAUUUCCAAUUUUAUUUUUAAAAAA